AUUGAACGCUGGCGGCAGGCUUAACACAUGCAAGUCGAGCGGGCGAGGUUGCUUCGGUAACUGAGCUAGCGGCGGACGGGUGAGUAAUGCUUAGGAAUCUGCCUAUUAGUGGGGGACAACAUUCCGAAAGGGAUGCUAAUACCGCAUACGUCCUACGGGAGAAAGCAGGGGCUCUUUAUGACCUUGCGCUAAUAGAUGAGCCUAAGUCGGAUUAGCUAGUUGGUGGGGUAAAGGCCUACCAAGGCGACGAUCUGUAGCGGGUCUGAGAGGAUGAUCCGCCACACUGGGACUGAGACACGGCCCAGACUCCUACGGGAGGCAGCAGUGGGGAAUAUUGGACAAUGGGGGGAACCCUGAUCCAGCCAUGCCGCGUGUGUGAAGAAGGCCUUUUGGUUGUAAAGCACUUUAAGUGGGGAGGAGGGCUUACCUGGUUAAUACCUGGGCUAAGUGGACGUUACCCACAGAAUAAGCACCGGCUAACUCUGUGCCAGCAGCCGCGGUAAU
rnacentral:rRNA from 1 species